UGGGGAAUAUUGGACAAUGGGGGGAACCCUGAUCCAGCCAUGCCGCGUGUGUGAAGAAGGCCUUAUGGUUGUAAAGCACUUUAAGCGAGGAGGAGGGUACUGGUAUUAAUACUACCAGGUACUGGACGUUACUCGCAGAAUAAGCACCGGCUAACUCUGUGCCAGCAGCCGCGGUAAUACAGAGGGUGCGAGCGUUAAUCGGAUUUACUGGGCGUAAAGCGUGCGUAGGCGGCUAAUUGAGUCGGAUGUGAAAUCCCCGAGCUUAACUUGGGAAUUGCAUUCGAUACUGGUUAGCUAGAGUGUGGGAGAGGAUGGUAGAAUUCCAGGUGUAGCGGUGAAAUGCGUAGAGAUCUGGAGGAAUACCGAUGGCGAAGGCAGCCAUCUGGCCUAACACUGACGCUGAGGUACGAAAGCAUGGGGAUCAAACAGG
rnacentral:rRNA from 1 species